GACGAACCGAGCGAACGUUGUUCGGAAUCACUGGGCUUAAAGGGCGCGUAGGCGGGUUCUCAAGUCCGGGGUGAAAUCCCACAGCUCAACUGUGGAACUGCCUCGGAUACUGGGAGUCUCGAGGGUGGCAGGGGUAUGCGGAACUAUCGGUGGAGCGGUGAAAUGCGUUGAUAUCGAUAGGAACUCCGGUGGCGAAGGCGGCAUACUGGUCCACUUCUGACGCUGAGGCGCGAAAGCGUGGGGAGCAAACAGG
rnacentral:rRNA from 1 species